ensembl:snRNA U6 U6 spliceosomal RNA
GUGCUCACUUUGGCAGCACAUAUACUAAAAUUGGAAUGAUACAGAGAAGAUUAGCAUGGCCUCUGUGGAAAGAUAACAUGCAAAUUCAUGAAGCAUUCUGUAUUUUU